AGCAACCUGCCCUGACUCUGGAAUAACAGCUGGAAACAGCUGCUAAUACCGGAUAUGACCUCAAACGACAUCGUCUGAGGUGGAAAGCUCCGGCGGUCAGGGAUGGGCUCGCGGCCUAUCAGCUAGUUGGUGAGGUAAUGGCUCACCAAGGCUUCGACGGGUAGCCGGCCUGAGAGGGCGACCGGCCACACUGGGACUGAGAUACGGCCCAG
rnacentral:rRNA from 1 species